rnacentral:misc_RNA from 1 species
GUUUGAUGCAAGAGAAUAUGGACCUCAAUCAAAUCAAUAUUAAGUUGGAAUGUGGAAGAAAAUUGGUAAGAUUUAAUAUUCACAUAUGGAAUUUCCAUAGGUACCAUAACCAAGGCUCGGACAUCAACCUAGAAUUAUAUCUUGUCCAACAUUUCAAAGUAAUGAAAUUGCUGCAUAUCGAUACUGGUUUGGCAGGCUCAAAACAUGCCUCCCUCCCCUUUAUCUUUCAUAACAAGUUUGAAUGCUACCCAUGUCUUCGAAGCCAUCU